UACGUAGGCAGCAAGCGUUGUUCGGAUUUACUGGGCGUAAAGAGUGCGUAGGCGGUCCUGUAAGUUUGGUGUGAAAUCUCCCGGCUCAACUGGGAGGGUGCGCCGAAGACUGCAGGGCUUGAGUAUGGGGGAGGUAAGCGGAAUUCCUGGUGUAGCGGUGAAAUGCGUAGAUAUCAGGAGGAACACCUGUGGUGUAGACAGCUUACUGGACCAUAACUGACGCUGAGGCACGAAAGCGUGGGUAGCAAACAGG
rnacentral:rRNA from 1 species